rnacentral:rRNA from 1 species
AUCNAUAGCCNUGCUAGUUGUGCGGGUUUAGACCCGCAGCGGAAAGCUCAGUAACACGUGGCCAAGCUACCCUGUGGACGGGAAUACUCUCGGGAAACUGAGGCUAAUCCCCGAUAACGCUUUGCUCCUGGAAGGGGCAAAGCCGGAAACGCUCCGGCGCCACAGGAUGCGGCUGCGGUCGAUUAGGUAGACGGUGGGGUAACGGCCCACCGUGCCCAUAAUCGGUACGGGUUGUGAGAGCAAGAGCCCGGAGACGGAAUCUGAGACAAGAUUCCGGGCCCUACGGGGCGCAGCAGGCGCGAAACCUUUACACUGUACGAAAGUGCGAUAAGGGGACUCCGAGUGUGAAGGCAUAGAGCCUUCACUUUUGUACACCGUAAGGUGGUGCACGAAUAAGGACUGGGCAAGACCGGUGCCAGCCGCCGCGGUAAUACCGGCAGUCCGAGUGAUGGCCGAUCUUAUUGGGCCUAAAGCGUCCGUAGCUGGCUGAACAAGUCCGUUGGGAAAUCUGUCCGCUUAACGGGCAGGCGUCCAGCGGAAACUGUUCAGCUUGGGACCGGAAGACCUGAGGGGUACGUCUGGGGUAGGAGUGAAAUCCUGUAAUCCUGGACGGACCGCCGGUGGCGAAAGCGCCUCAGGAGAACGGAUCCGACAGUGAGGGACGAAAGCUAGGGUCUCGAACCGGAUUAGAUACCCGGGUAGUCCUAGCUGUAAACGAUGUCCGCUAGGUGUGGCGCAGGCUACGAGCCUGCGCUGUGCCGUAGGGAAGCCGAGAAGCGGACCGCCUGGGAAGUACGUCUGCAAGGAUGAAACUUAANGGAAUUGGCGGGGGAGCACUACAACCGGAGGAGCCUGCGGUUUAAUUGGACUCAACGCCGGACAUCUCACCAGCCCCGACAGUAGUAAUGACGGUCAGGUUGAUGACCUUACCCGAGGCUACUGAAAGGAGGUGCAUGGCCGCCGUCAGCUCGUACCGUGAGGCGUCCUGUUAAGUCAGGCAACGAGCGAGACCCGCACUCCUNNUUGCCAGCAGUACCCUUUNGGGUAACUGGG